UUUAAGUGAAAGGAGGAAGAAAAGGACACAGGAAAGGAUGGACACCCGAACCCAGCAAGAACCUUUCCAGUCUGGGUGACCUUGGUCUGACAGACGAGACGCUAUACCGGCGGGCGACUGGUACUGGGAGUGCUCCACCCCACCCGGCGGGGGCGGGGUCUGCGGCGUCCGUGGGCGCCCCCCAGUGGCAGCGGGUGGCGCCGCACGGAGUUCGCUGCUUGGACCGGGACCGAUGCCAUCUGAGACGCACGCGAUGCUGGCGACGCUGGCGAGGGUGGCAGCUCUGCGCAGAACCUGCCUCUUCUCCGGCCGGGGCGGCGGGAGGGGGCUGUGGACUGGCCGCCCGCAGUCAGAUAUGAACAAUAUAAAGCCAUUGGAAGGGGUAAAAAUUCUGGAUCUAACAAGAAUCCUGGCGGGACCUUUUGCUACUAUGAAUUUAGGAGACCUUGGAGCAGAAGUUAUAAAAGUGGAGAGACCAGGAGUUGGAGAUGAUACACGGACUUGGGGGCCACCUUUUGUUGGGACAGAAAGUACAUAUUAUCUCAGUGUUAACCGAAAUAAAAAAAGUAUUGCUGUUAAUAUCAAGGAUCCAAAAGGGGUGAAAAUCAUCAAAGAGCUCGCAGCUGUUUGUGAUGUGUUUGUGGAAAACUAUGUCCCUGGCAAACUGUCUGCAAUGGGCCUGGGAUAUGAAGAUAUAGACAAGAUUGCUCCUCACAUCAUCUAUUGUUCCAUCACAGGGUAUGGUCAGACAGGUCCAAUUUCUCAGCGAGCUGGUUAUGAUGCUGUUGCCUCAGCUGUUUCUGGUCUGAUGCACAUCACAGGGCCUGAGGAUGGAGAUCCAGUUCGCCCAGGAGUAGCCAUGACUGAUCUUGCCACUGGCCUGUAUGCAUAUGGAGCUAUUAUGGCUGGAUUGAUACGAAAAUACAAAACCGGAAAAGGACUGUUCAUUGAUUGUAACCUACUGUCAUCCCAGGUGGCGUGUUUGUCCCACAUAGCUGCAAAUUAUCUUAUUGUUCGAAAGGAAGCAAAACGUUGGGGUACAGCUCAUGGCAGUAUUGUUCCUUACCAGGCUUUUAAAACCAAGGAUGGCUAUAUCGUAGUUGGAGCAGGAAAUAACCAGCAGUUUGCCACUGUGUGCAAGAUCUUGGAUUUGCCUGAGUUGAUUGAUGACUCCAAGUAUAAAACUAACCACCUUCGGGUACAGAAUAGAAAAGAACUUAUUAAAAUAUUAUCUGAACGGUUUGAAGAAGAACUGACCAGCAAGUGGUUACAUCUUUUUGAAGGCAGUGGAGUCCCAUAUGGCCCAAUCAACAACAUGAAGAAUGUAUUUGCAGAACCUCAGGCCUCUUUGAUUAAACUUGAGGGCAGGAAGAAGCAGUUCCUUUGUACAUCCCUGGUCAGGGGUGUUAUCACAAGAAACGCCGCUGUAUUCCAAUCACUUUUUACCCAUGAGCUGGCGUCCUGAAGUCAGAGACAGCUUCCUAUUUCUCUGCCUGUCUUUAGUGCUGAGCACAGACAAGCUGCUUAUUAAGUGGUAGGUGAGUGCAUUGCUGGACCUGGGCAUUAUAAAAGAGGAACUUGUGAAGUCAGUUGAUGAGCUGGGUGGGGAACGUGUUCCUGACUUUAACAUAUUGCUUGACCCUGGUGGGCUGCCAGUAAAUUCCUGUGGAAUUCUGUUGAAUACUGAAGCAGGAAGGCUUUCCCGCCCUGCACAGUCCUCCUUCCUCCCUGAUUCCAUCAGGUCAGAAGAGUGGUCAUCAUUAGUGAAGAUAUACUAGGUUUCAGUUUGUUGGGUCCUGUUACAUAUAACGUGACUGAGCAGUAAUAAGUCAGGGAGCCCAAAUGGCUGGUUGACGUUUAACCUGUUCAACUGUCAUCUCUGCAGAAGGUCCAAACAGUUACUUCAAAACUUUAACUCAUUCCAAAGUCUACUUCUGUUUAACAAAUUCAGUUACUGAAUCUAUGGUUAUCUAUUAAAUGCUUGUUGUGUUUAAAGGGAUUAGUAAUAUUUAAACAGAAUAAGCUUUAAAUAUGUGACACAAAAUAACUAUUCAAUAAAUAUCACUAGGGUAAUUGGCUAAUCAUUUGUGAAAAGAGUAAUUUUUGAGUAUUUCAAUGUAAUAUAUAACAAGGAGAAAACUAAGGUAAGUGUUUAUCACAGAAAAUCAGAGAAAUCAUGGACAUGAAGCCAAUGAAGAAAGCAGCUCACUAGAUUGAAUCCCAGGUCACCAUACAGCUGAAGAGAGCAAGCUCCUCCCCUGCAUAAGACUCUAACCUCUGCAAGCAAAUCCAACAAAAUCUUGUGAAAAAUUUCAGAAACAAUGUUUGAGAAGAAACCCGGGACUUAAAAAUGAACAAGUAUGCAGUGUAAGCUGACCUUGAGUGUCACAUUUUAACAUCUGUUUUUCAUGUUGUGAUACUUAUUUGAGAUUUGGUAUUAUUAAGUAACGAGGAAAAUAUCUUACUGUUUCCAUAGGUAACAGGGCAGUAACUUGAGGCUGAUGGAUUGGCAUGCUUUGUCUGUAUAAUGUAAUUCAAAUAAAGUCAUAACAUUUUGGCUAUGG